rnacentral:rRNA from 1 species
UACUCGAUAGUUCAGUGUGCCAUGCUUUACGGCUUAGAAUCGGGACUUCAACGACGUUUUGAACGUCAUGGAGCAUAUGAGAUGUUCCAGGAGUUGAAGUUAAUAUUUCAAGCAAAUGCCCGAAUUGAGAGAUAUGAAGUCUCCAAUAAGUUCUAUAGCUGCAAGAUGGAGGAGAACAGUUCUGUCAGUGAGCAUAUACUCAAAAUGUCUGGGUAUAAUAAUCACUUGAUUCAAUUGGGAGUUAAUCUUCCGGAUGAUUGCGUCAUUGACAGAAUUCUCCAAUCACUGCCACCAAGCUACAAGAGCUUCGUGAUGAACUAUAAUAUGCAAGGGAUGAACAAGACAAUUCCCGAGCUCUUCGCAAUGCUGAAAGCUGCGGAGGUAGAAAUC